UUGUUGUGCCGCAAACCAUGACGUUUCUCACGAGACACGACGUCUUGGACCACUAAGACAAGAUCUAGGCUCCAGGGACGGCACUGGGAAGUUGCAAGUGGCAUAUUUGGCCCUAGAGGCACUAGCGGGUAGAUGGAGGGCUUCCAUUCAACCCAUAACAAGCCAUUUAACCAUCACAAUUACUCUGAAACCGUUUAAUUAAGAUAAAAAUCCGGCCAAGUUCCAC